rnacentral:rRNA from 1 species
UACGUAGGUGACCAGCGUUGUCCGGAUUUAUUGGGCGUAAAGAGCUCGUAGGCGGCUGUUCACGUCGGAUGUGAAAGCUCAGGGCUCAACCCUGAGAGGCCAUUCGAUACGGGACGGCUAGAGGUAGGUAGGGGAAAGUGGAAUUCCUGGCGUAGCGGUGAAAUGCGCAGAUAUCGGGAAGAACACCCGUGGCGAAGGCGGUUCUCUGGGACGGUACUGGACGCUGAGACGCGAAAGCGUGGGGAGCGAACAGG